UACGUAGGUGCGAGCGUUGUCCGGAAUUAUUGGGCGUAAAGAGCUUGUAGGCGGUUUGUCGCGUCUGCUGUGAAAAUCCGGGGCUCAACCCCGGACUUGCAGUGGGUACGGGCAGACUAGAGUGUGGUAGGGGAGACUGGAAUUCCUGGUGUAGCGGUGAAAUGCGCAGAGAUCAGGAGGAAUACCGAAGGCGAAGGCAGUCUUCCAAGCCGUUAUUGACGCUCAACUGCGAAGGUGUGGGUAUCAAACAGGAUUAGAUACCCGUGUAGUCCCU
rnacentral:rRNA from 1 species